rnacentral:misc_RNA from 1 species
UUUCCGUAGGUGAACCUGCGGAAGGAUCAUUACCGAGAAGGCCUCCGGGCCGCGUCUCCUCCCUUCUUACCGACCGUGUUGCUUCGGCGGGCCGCGUCCGCGCCGGUGCCCCGCACCGUGUGCCCGCCGGAGACCAUUUCAAAUCCACAUGGCGUCCGAGUCACAUUGAAUAAAGAAAACCCUCAACAACGGAUCUCUUGGUUCUGGCAUCGAUGAAGAACGCAGC